rnacentral:rRNA from 1 species
UGGGGAAUCUUGCGCAAUGGGGGCAACCCUGAUGCAGCGACGCCGCGUGAGCGAUGAAGCCCUUCGGGGUGUAAAGCUCUUUCGGCAGGGAAGAUAAUGACGGUACCUGCAGAAUCAGCUGCGGCUAACUACGUGCCAGCAGCCGCGGUAAUACGUAGGCAGCGAGCGUUGUUCGGAGUUACUGGGCGUAAAGGGUGUGUAGGCGGUGCUCUAAGUGUGGUGUGAAAUCUCCCGGCUCAACUGGGAGGGUGCGCUACGAACUGGAGUGCUCGAGUGCGGGAUGGGAGAGUGGAAUUCCUGGUGUAGCGGUGAAAUGCGUAGAUAUCAGGAGGAACACCGGUGGUGUAGACGGCUCUCUGGACCGCAACUGACGCUGAGACACGAAAGCGUGGGUAGCAAACAGGAUUAGAUACCCCUGUAGUCCCUGAGCGGGCUGGCAAGGCGCAU